UACGGGGGGGGCAAGCGUUGUUCGGAAUUACUGGGCGUAAAGGGCGCGUAGGCGGCCUGCUAAGUCGAACGUGAAAUCCCUGGGCUCAACCCAGGAACUGCGUCCGAUACUGGUUGGCUUGAAUCCGGGAGAGGGAUGUGGAAUUCCAGGUGUAGCGGUGAAAUGCGUAGAUGUCUGGAGGAACACCGGUGGCGAAGGCGACAUCCUGGACCGGUAUUGACGCUGAGGCGCGAAAGCCAGGGGAGCAAACGGG
rnacentral:rRNA from 1 species